AAAACUCCGCAAUGCACGAAAGCGUGACGGGGCUACCCCGAGUGCCGUCCGCUGAGGAUGGCUUUUCCCCGGUGUAAUGAGCCGGGGGAAUAAGGAGAGGGCAAGUCUGGUGCCAGCAGCCGCGGUAA
rnacentral:rRNA from 1 species